CUCUAGCUUGCUAGAGAUGAUUAGUGGCGGACGGGUGAGUAACAUUUAGGAAUCUGCCUAGUAGUGGGGGAUAGCUCGGGGAAACUCGAAUUAAUACCGCAUACGACCUACGGGUGAAAGGGGGCGCAAGCUCUUGCUAUUAGAUGAGCCUAAAUCAGAUUAGCUAGUUGGUGGGGUAAAGGCCCACCAAGGCGACGAUCUGUAACUGGUCUGAGAGGAUGAUCAGUCACACCGGAACUGAGACACGGUCCGGACUCCUACGGGAGGCAGCAGUGGGGAAUAUUGGACAAUGGGGGCAACCCUGAUCCAGCCAUGCCGCGUGUGUGAAGAAGGCCUUUUGGUUGUAAAGCACUUUAAGCAGGGAGGAGAGGCUAAUGGUUAAUACCCAUUAGAUUAGACGUUACCUGCAGAAUAAGCACCGGCUAACUCUGUGCCAGCAGCCGCGGUAAUACAGAGGGUGCGAGCGUUAAUCGGAAUUACUGGGCGUAAAGCGAGUGUAGGUGGCUCAUUAAGUCACAUGUGAAAUCCCCGGGCUUAACCUGGGAACUGCAUGUGAUACUGGUGGUGCUAGAAUAUGUGAGAGGGAAGUAGAAUUCCAGGUGUAGCGGUGAAAUGCGUAGAGAUCUGGAGGAAUACCGAUGGCGAAGGCAGCUUCCUGGCAUAAUAUUGACACUGAGAUUCGAAAGCGUGGGUAGCAAACAGGAUUAGAUACCCUGGUAGUCCACGCCGUAAACGAUGUCUACUAGCCGUUGGGGUCCUUGAGACUUUAGUGGCGCAGUUAACGCG
rnacentral:rRNA from 1 species